GAUGAACGCUGGCGGCGUGCCUAAUACAUGCAAGUCGAGCGAACGGACGAGAAGCUUGCUUCUCUGAUGUUAGCGGCGGACGGGUGAGUAACACGUGGAUAACCUACCUAUAAGACUGGGAUAACUUCGGGAAACCGGAGCUAAUACCGGAUAAUAUUUUGAACCGCAUGGUUCAAAAGUGAAAGACGGUCUUGCUGUCACUUAUAGAUGGAUCCGCGCUGCAUUAGCUAGUUGAUAAGGUAACGGCUUACCAAGGCAACGAUGCAUAGCCGACCUGAGAGGGUGAUCGGCCACACUGGAACUGAGAAACGGUCCAGACUCCUACGGGAGGCAGCAGUAGGGAAUCUUCCGCAAUGGGCGAAAGCCUGACGGAGCAACGCCGCGUGAGUGAUGAAGGUCUUCGGAUCGUAAAACUCUGUUAUUAGGGAAGAACAUAUGUGUAAGUAACUGUGCACAUCUUGACGGUACCUAAUCAGAAAGCCACGGCUAACUACGUG
rnacentral:rRNA from 1 species